CUGGUCUGGAUCGGUCACCGCUGGGUGCCUGAGCUCCGCAUGGAGCCUGCAGCCUUUGUUUAACUUAUAAAGAAAUGGGGGCUCCGAGCAGUCAAGAAGAACAUGCCCCAAGUUAUUCGUCAGUGAGGCGGAAAUUGUGGUGUACUUGUUUUCUGUGGGUCAGGAGAUCAGAAAUGGUUCUAUUUCAAGGACUCUCACAGGGCUGCAAUCAAGAUGUUGGCAUGGCUGGGGUCUCAUCUGAAGGCUGGACUGGAGAAGAAUCUACUUCCAAACUUAUGUGGUAGUUGGAAGAAUUUAGUUCCUCAAGGCCGCUAAACUGAUGGCCUGUGUUCCUUGCCUAUGGGAUGGUAGCUUGCUUCAACAAAGUGUGCAAGCAGAGAAGACAGAGAGUCCGCUAGCAAGAUAGAAGCCACAAUCUCUUGUAAUCUAUCAUUUUUGCUGUAUUCUACUGGUUAAAAAUAACUCAUUAGGUUAGCCUACUGGCUCUCAAGGGGAAGAGAUUAUACAAAGGCAUGAAUUUCUGGAGGAGGGAAUGAGGGCAAAGAAUUCUGAGAAGUCUGUCUUCCACAAUCUGAAGAACUUCUAGAAAG
rnacentral:lncRNA from 10 species